rnacentral:rRNA from 1 species
UACGUAGGGUGCGAGCGUUAAUCGGAAUUACUGGGCGUAAAGCGUGCGCAGGCGGUUUUGUAAGCCAGAUGUGAAAUCCCCGGGCUUAACCUGGGAAUGGCAUUUGGGACUGCAAGGCUGGAGUGCGGCAGAGGAGACUGGAAUUCCUGGUGUAGCAGGUGAAAUGCGUAGAUAUCAGGAGGAACACCGGCGGCGAAGGCGGCCAACUGGACCACUACUGACGCUGAGACACGAAAGCGUGGGGAGCAAACAGG